UAUAGCUCAGUCGGAAGAGCACGAGGCUCUGAAUCUCAGAGUCAUGGGUUUGAGUUCCACGUUGGGCAAAA